rnacentral:misc_RNA from 1 species
GAACGCAUCUUGCGCUCCUUGGUAUUCCUAGGAGCAUGCCUGUUUGAGAAUCUAUAGUAUUAAUUUUUGGCUGUUUUUCUUUGGAAAAACAGGCAGAAGAUAUGGAGUUUCCCUCGCAAGAGGGUGCUUUAAAAUAGAUUGCCUUUGUAUUUGUUGGACUCGACGAAGUUUUUCAAAACCCGCAGAAAAGUAUUUGAAUGGAACCCUGGUUUCUCUUGAUGCUGAAUAUGCAGGCGAAAGAUGGAGUUUCCUUCAGGCAGAGGUCCAUACCUAUAAGUCAGUCUUAGGACUGGCUUGAACCAUGGUCUCAAAUCAGGUAGGAAGACCCGCUGAACUUAAG